AGGGUAAAAGAGAUCUGAAAAUUCCCUGGCUAGCUGAACUGAUUCACAUUGGCUAAGACAAACUGUUAACUGUUACCUAAAGAAGAGAACAAACGAGAGAAGAGAAAACGCAAAGAGCCUGCAUGGCUUGGGUUUGAGGAAAAGUUUGGACAACUUUUGAGAGAGAGGAAGAGUGAUUUUGAACCACACAGCUGGACUGGGUGAGUGUAGUUUAUGGAAAAUAGAUGAGAGAAGAGGAUUCCUAGUAAGUUUUGGGAUGUGGAUGCAAUGUGAACAUAAAAGAUUGCCUUCUUAUGGAAACUGCAGCUAAGUACAGGUUACCUUACUCUUCAAUAUUAAGAAUGCUUUGAUGAUUCAGCAUUAGAAGCAUAUUGAAUGGAUUAACUUUACUUACUACCAUAACUACCAAAAUUGGUUAUUAAAGGCCUCUCAUCCCUUUUCUACUGAGAGGAAGUGGAAUGCACUCCGACAAGGAUAAGGUUUUAUUGUGAGCUGGCCUUGGAAUUAAACCACCACCAACACACUUUUGGAUUAUCAGAAGGUGGAAGGAGUGCAAACCAUGUUGAACUUGGAAGGCACGUGCUCCCGCUGGCAAAGCUAAGGACAGACGUGGCUGCAUGACUUGCACUGGACUGUGCUAUGAGUGAGAAACAAAAUUCCAUUGAGUUCUUCUGCUGAGAUUUUAAGAUUUGUUCUUAUUGCAUAGUCUAGCUGAAGCCUAACUUCUCCUUUUCUUAUUCUGUAUACCGUUUCCACAGUGCCAGUUACAGUGAUGCGUUAAACAUCCUUAUUUCCAGUUCAGAAUUUCCCUGGAGCUCCAAAUUUUUAUGUUUAAUUUCUUACUGGGCAAUUCCAGUUGUGUAUAUCAAAGGCCCAUCAAAUUAAAACUCAUUAUCUUCCCAUCUGAAACCUACUGUUUUUCUAUUCCUUCUUUUGGUAAUGGCAUUUCAAUUCACUUAAUUUUCAAAAUUAUAAACAUGAGCGUCAUUCUUGAAGCCCGUUUCUUGCUUCUUUCAAGAUUUUUUCUUCAUUUUUAAUUUUCAAGUUUUACUGUGAUGCAUUUGGAACAUAUUUCUUUGAGUUUACCCUGUUUGGGGCUCAUUGAGCUUUUUGAAUCUGUGGACUUUUCUUUCACCAAACAUGGGGAGUUUUCAGCCAUUACUUCUUCCAAUUUUUUUCAUAAUCAUAUACCUUCUCUUCUCUUACUGCAACUCCAGUGACAUAAAUUAGAUAUUUUGUUAUUGUCUCAUGGAUGCCUAUAGAUCUGUUUUUGUUUGUUUGUUUUUGAGAUGGAGUCUCGCU
rnacentral:lncRNA from 1 species